AGCGAACGCUGGCGGCAGGCCUAACACAUGCAAGUCGAGCGCCCCGCAAGGGGAGCGGCAGACGGGAGAGUAACACGUGGGAACGUACCCUUUGGUUCGGAACAACCCAGGGAAACUUGGGCUAAUACCGGAUAAGCCCUUACGGGGAAAGAUUCAUCGCCGAAGGAUCGGCCCGCGUCUGAUUAGCUAGUUGGUGGGGUAACGGCCCACCAAGGCGACGAUCAGUAGCUGGUCUGAGAGGAUGAUCAGCCUCACUGGGACUGAGACACGGCCCAGACUCCUACGGGAGGCAGCAGUGGGGAAUAUUGGACAAUGGGCGCAAGCCUGAUCCAGCCAUGCCGCGUGGGUGAUGAAGGCCCUAGGGUUGUAAAGCCCUUUCGGCGGGGAAGAUAAUGACGGUACCUUACCAGAAAGCCACGGCUAACUACGUGCCAGCCGCCGCGGUAAAAC
rnacentral:rRNA from 1 species